rnacentral:rRNA from 1 species
CGCGUGAGCAAUCUGCCUUUCAGAGGGGGAUAACAGCCGGAAACGGCUGCUAAUACCGCAUAAUGCAUUGAAUUCGCAUGUUUUUGAUGCCAAGAUUUUAUCGCUGAAAGAUGAGCUCGCGUCUGAUUAGCUAGUUGGCGGGGUAACGGCCCACCCAAGGCGACGAUCAGUAGCCGGACUGAGAGGUUGAACGGCCACAUUGGGACUGAGACACGGCCCAGACUCCUACGGGAGGCAGCAUG